rnacentral:rRNA from 1 species
GACGAACGCUGGCGGCGUGCUUAACACAUGCAAGUCGAGCGGUAAGGCCCUUUCGGGGGUACACGAGCGGCGAACGGGUGAGUAACACGUGGGUGACCUGCCCUCAGCUCUGGGAUAAGCCUGGGAAACCGGGUCUAAUACCGGAUAUGACUCCAUGACGCAUGUUGUGGGGUGGAAAGCCUUGUGCGGCUGAGGAUGGGCCCGCGGCCUAUCAGCUUGUUGGUGGGGUGANGGCCUACCAAGGCGACGACGGGUAGCCGGCCUGAGAGGGCGACCGGCCACACUGGGACUGAGACACGGCCCAGACUCCUACGGGAGGCAGCAGUGGGGAAUCUUGCGCAAUGGGCAAAGCCUGACGCAGCGACGCCGCGUGAGGGAUGACGGCCUGGU